rnacentral:rRNA from 1 species
UACAGAGGGGCAAGCGUUGUUCGGAAUUACUGGGCGUAAAGGGCGCGUAGGCGGCCUGUUAAGUCGAACGUGAAAUCCCUGGGCUCAACCCAGGAACUGCGUCCGGAUACUGGCAGGCUUGAAUUCGGGAGAGGGAUGCGGAAUUCCAGGUGUAGGCGGUGAAAUGCGUAGAUAUCUGGAGGAACACCGGUGGCGAAGGCGGCAUCCUGGACCGGCAUUGACGCCUGAGGCGCGAAAGCCAGGGGAGCAAACGGG